CCUACGGGAGGCAGCAGUGAGGAAUAUUGGUCAAUGGGCGCAAGCCUGAACCAGCCAAGUCGCGUGAAGGAUGACUGCCCUACGGGUUGUAAACUUCUUUUAUAAAGGAAUAAAGAGAGGCACGUGAUCCUUUUUGUAUGUACUUUAUGAAUAAGGAUCGGCUAACUCCGUGCCAGCAGCCGCGGUAAUACGUAGGAUCCGAGCGUUAUCCGGAUUUAUUGGGUUUAAAGGGAGCGUAGAUGGGUUGUUAAGUCCGUUGUGAAGGUUUGCGGCUCAACCGUGAAAUUGCAAUUGAUACUGGCAGCCUUGAGUGCAGUGGAGGUAGGCGGAAUUCGUAGUGUAGCGGUGAAAUGCUUAGAUAUUACGAAGAACUCCGGUUGCGAAGGCAGCCUACUAGACUGCAACUGACGUUGAUGCUCGAAAGUGUGGGGAUCAAACAGGAUUAGAUACCCGUGUAGUC
rnacentral:rRNA from 1 species